UUGGAGGGCAAGUCUGGUGCCAGCAGCCGCGGUAAUUCCAGCUCCAAUAGCGUAUAUUAAAGUUGUUGCAGUUAAAAAGCUCGUAGUUGAAUUUCGGGGUCAGUGGGUUGGUCAUGCCACCGGUAUGUACUGGUCUCACUGAUUCCUCCUUCCUGAUGAACUGUAAUGCCAUUAAUUUGGUGUUGCAGGGAAUCUGGACUGUUACUUUGAAAAAAUUAGAGUGUUUAAAGCAGGCUAACGCCUGAAUACAUUAGCAUGGAAUAAUGAAAUAGGACGUUCGAUCCUAUUUUGUUGGUUUCUAGGAUUGACGUAAUGAUUAAUAGGGAUAGUUGGGGGCAUUAGUAUUCAAUUGUCAGAGGUGAAAUUCUUGGAUUUAUUGAAGACUAACUACUGCGAAAGCAUUUGCCAAGGAUGUUUUCAUUAAUCAAGAACGAAAGUUAGGGGAUCGAAGACGAUCAGAUACCGUCGUAGUCUUAACCAUAAACUAUGCCGACUAGGGAUCGGAUGAUGUUAAUUUUUAAUGACUCAUUCGGCACCUUACGGGAAACCAAAGUGUUUGGGUUC
rnacentral:rRNA from 1 species